UCGUCUAGUGGUUAGGACGCCAGGUUUUCAUCCUGGAAACAGGAGUUCGAUUCUCCUA
rnacentral:tRNA from 1 species